rnacentral:rRNA from 1 species
AUGAAAGGUACUCGUCGCUUCGGUAUCAAAGGGAAGCUUGCCCCUAGAUACGUGGGACCUUUCAAGAUUGUCAGCAAGAGAGGCGACCUCGCCUAUCAACUCGAGCUUCCUUCAAACUUUGCAAAUGUUCAUGAUGUGUUCCAUGUCUCUCAGCUUCGGAAGUGCUUCAAGACUCCUGACCGCACCGUCAACUUCGAGGACAUUGAGCUCCAAGAAGAUCUCUCUUAUCGUGAGCACCCAGUUGCUAUUCUUGAAGAGACUGAACGCAAGACUCGCAACAAGUCAAUCAAAUUCCUCAAAGUUAAGUGGUCACACCAUUCCGACCGUGAAGCUACCUGGGAACGCGAGGAUCACCUCCGUUCUGAGUACCCGGAGUUCUUUCAGUCCUAG